ensembl:misc_RNA 7SK 7SK RNA
GGAUGUGAGGGCAAUCUGGCUGCGACAUCUGUCACCCCAUUGAUCGCCAGGGUUGAUUCGGCUGAUCUGGCUGGCUAGGCGGGUGUCCCCUUCCUCCCUCACCGCUCCAUGUGCGUCCCUCCCGAAGCUGUGUGCUCGGUCGAAGAGGACGACCAUCCCUGAUAGAGGAGGACCGUUCUUCAGUCAAGGGUAUACGAGUAGCUGCGCUCCCCUGCUAGAACCUCCAAACAAGCUCUCAAGAGGUCCUGAUGCCUUGAAAGUUCUUGAUGCUUGUUGUUCUGUGAUGUCAUCUCAGGACUUAAGGAUUAGGUUUGCAUUCUAGUCUUUCUGGUCUGGCUUACUAUACCUAUCUUC